rnacentral:ncRNA from 1 species
UAAAGUUUAAUUUAAGUCUAUUUUACAUAUAAAUUUUAGUAUAUAUUUUUAAUUUAUUUUAAAAAUUUUUAAAAAUUAAUUUAAUAGUAAUUAAUAUUAAAAAUUUAAGAAAUUAAGAUUUAGUAAUAUAAAAAUUAAUAACUAAUUUUGUGCCAGCAGUUGCGGUUAUACAAAAAUUAAAUUAAAUUAUUUCAGUAUAUAAUAAAUAAAAUAAAAUAAAAUAAAUAUUAAAUUAUUAGGUAAAAUUUUAAUUUAAUUAAAUUUUAAAUUAAUUUUAUGAUUUAAUAAAUUUUAUAAUAAACUAGGAUUAGAUACCCUAUUAUUAAAAAUUUAAUUUAUAAUACUAAAAUAGUAGAUAAAAAAUAUUGAAACUUAAAUAAUAUGGCGGUAUUUUAGUUCAUUUAGAGGAAUCUGUCUAAUAAUUGAUAAUCCACGAAUAAAUUUACUUAAUUUAAAAUUUUAUAUAUCGUUGUUAAAAAAAUAUUUUAUAAUAAAAAUAAUAUUUAAAAAUUAAAAUAAAAAAUUAAUUCAGAUCAAGAUGUAGAAUAUAAUUAAGAAUAUGAUGGAUUACAAUAAAAUAAUUUAAUAUGAAUAAUUUAAUUUUAAAAUUAAUUUGAAAGUGGAUUUAAAUGUAAUUUUAAUUAAUUUAUUAAAAUGAUUAAAAAUUGAAAUAUGUACAUAUUGCCCGUCACUUUCAUUUGAAAAUUGGAAUAAGUCGUAACAAAGUAGAGGUACUGGAAAGUGUUUCUAGAAUGAA